GCUUCAGCUCCACCAUGUUCUAAAGAAUGGGCUGGCAGAACGACACUUAUUUCCUCUUAGGCGUGUGUGUGAUUGAAGCCACCAGCUUUCACUUCUCUUUGUAGCUGUUGUUGUUUGGAUGGUCCGAACACCACUGAGGUGCCUGAACACUGGUGGAGGGAUGAGUUUCUCCAGUGGUGCAUCUAUUGAGUACGUGAGUGACGAGCUGGAGACUUUGGGGUGGUACCAUGGUGACCUGUCCCGCCAUGCUGCAGAAGCCCUUCUCUUGUCCAAUGGGACAGAUGGAAGUUACCUCCUGAGAAACAGUAAUGAGGGACCUGGUUACUUUGCCCUGUCUGUGAGGGCUAAGGAUUCAGUAAAGCAUUUUCAGGUGACACGCAAAGACAGUGGCUAUGCAUUUGGGUUUAACAAGUUUGCAACCCUUCAAGAUUUUGUCAACCACUUUGCUAACCAGCCCCUGUUGGGCAGUGACACAGGAACCCUCAUUGUGCUGAAGAGCCCAUACCCUUUGUGUGUGGAAGAGCCAUCCAUUUAUGAAUCUGUGCGAGUUCACACAGCCAUACAGACAGGCCGCACAGAAAAUGAUCUGGUGGCAAAUGCACCAUCGCUGGGCACAAAGGAAGGCUAUCUAGUAAAGCAAGGAGCAGUUGUGAAGAACUGGAAACAGAGGUGGUUCACACUCAACAGAUAUGAACUUAAAUACUUCAGAGACAAAAUGUGUGAGGAGCCCAUUCGAACUCUUGAUCUGAGAGCCUGCUCUGCAGUCCAGUUUGAUUACUCUCAGGACAGAGUUAACUGUUUCUGGGAGUAUACCAAGACAGAACCAGGCUCAGGGACGGCAGCCAAUUCCAUCAACCAGUUGGCAUUGGAGGACAGAGGAGAGAGAACAUAUAAGUACUGGACAACAACAUCCAAUUAACACCAAGCAGAUUUAUUAGUAACCACUGAUCAAAAACAAGCAGCUCUUGAGCCAGCCAUGGCUACAGAAAGGUACAGUUAGAGAGAGAAAACAGACAGGAAAAGCACAGACUACAGGAGUGGUACAUUAGGGUCUUUGAGAUAAGGAGUUUUUGGAUGUUUUUGUAAAAGUUCAUCAGAAAACAAACCCCAGUCCCUGACCCACAGCAGGCUGGUUAUGGAAAGGAACAAACUAAAAUAAAGCACCAAAACAAACGAGCAAAAAUAGACUGGAUAAAACUAAGUUAAAAAAACAGAAAAAACAUUGAAUCAAAAACAAAACAAACAACAAAAAAACAUAGGCAUAAAAAAAAAAAAACAACAUUAAGAGGGUAGUAUCAAGACAGGAAAAACUGGUGGGACCGGUCUGGAGGGUGGCCCAGAGGCUGAUCAGACAGGCAGAGCUGGGCAGCUGGCCGGCAACAGUUACAGAACCCCCCUCUGGAAGAUGGGUAGCUGGCCAGGUGAAGGUGCAGCCCCUCAGGAGACUGAUGAUCGAGAUAGAAUUCAUCGUGAGACCAGGGAGAAAGCCAGUGGAUGGAGUUCGAACCCAUUGGGAGACCAUGCGAGAGCCCGGUGGUGGAGAUAAAAUCGGAGAUCCUCUAGUGGUCAAGCAGAGUUCGGCAGUGAAGGCAGGACUGGGCCAAAUGUUAAGGGGCAGCAGCAGGCAUGGCACACUGAUGUUUCUUGUGCUGGUUGUCUGCUGGGAGCACAGACUUUGAGCAGAGACAACAUCAGCAGGCACAGACUGAACUCAGCUGACAUUCAUGACGCUCGGCUGCAGACAUGGCAGGCAGAUUGUGGAAAUGUACAAACUCUAAUUAAAAAAAAGAAAAAACUGAGGUGUGCAGGUAAACAAAUUAAAGAAAAGGCAUCUAGUAAUCCAGGUAAAAUAUAUAUCCAAAAAUAAAGAUGAUCUUCCAACAAAGCUAAAUCCCAAAAAAUCCACAGAAAUCCAAAAAAACUGAAAAACAUCACAAACCAUAGGCCCGAGGAAAAGAACUGGCAGGAAAACAUGAGGGCAGGAAAACAGGAUAGCAACAGGAUGAAAUGACAAAGACAGAGGGAGAGAAAGGUCUAUUUAAGCACUCAGAACUGAUUGGGGAGACAAGACACAGGUGAAACUAGUCAGAGCAAUCUAAGGGGGAGGGAAAAGACAGACAAAGAACAGAAGUAAAAACACAAGCAACACAUGAUGAAAAAUAAUGUAAAAAAAAUAAAACAGGAACUAACCGAAACGAGAUCUGAAACUCACACAGAUAAACAAGAGACAAAAACAGACACAGUAAAGGAAAACACACAGAAAUACAUCACAGUAACAAAACUAGCAACCAGAACUCAAGACCAUGACAGUUUUUGAUAUCUUGUUUUUCACUGUUAUAUAAAGUCCUGCACGUCUAUGGAGACAGCAUGAAUAUGACACAAAAAUGUCCUUUGUUUAGCAGGACAGAGUUAGGAUGUCAUUAAUCAUUAAAAAGAAAGAAUAGCAAAAUUUAUUUAUAUAUCUCCCUAUAUAAAAAAAUCUAAUAUGGAAUCAGCUUGCACAAUGUUUUUCCCUACAGGGGACUUGGUAAAAGAGGACUUUAAAUUCCAUAGAUGUUAUGCUGCUUAAAUUUCGAUAGCCAGAUCUUCAGCCAAGUUUAGCCAAAAGUCCCUGAAUUUUUGACAUUUGACACAGCAUAGUCACUAAUAUAUUUUCUGUUACAGGCACAGAAUUACUUUUUUUGCAGUCUGGUUCGUCCAAAUGGUUUAUUUAGUAGACCUUCAAAAGUAUGACUACAACCACUACAGCAGAUGCAGAAAAUGUUUGUUGCUCAGUCUGUGAAAAUAUUCAGCAAAAGUUCAUCACAUACAUACAGAGAAAAGCUCAGUUUGAUUGCUGAGCUCGUAGUUCUUCCCUCGCAACCUGGGUUUGUUUUGUAUGUUAACAGCCCCCACUCAAAGUUAAUUUACUUAUAAAAACACAGGCUAAUAAUUAAAAGUAAGCAUUCUCCAGCUGUUUGUUUAACUGUGGCUGUGUUCAUAAAUUCAGUAUGAAAUUCAGAGUAUCCUGUAAAAUGUUGCUCAUAAUUUUAGUUUCACUUUCGGAGCACAAAGCAGCAGGAUUUAGUGAUUUCAGGUCUGCAGACAAACUCUGUCUUACGUUAUUUUCACAGUUUCUCUGACGUAUUGUUGGUGUUAGUGAAAUCCAUUCUUGAGCUGUUUUCAUUCGCGAAACCUUUAAAAUCACGGUACAAAUAUUGUCAAAGUCCUGCAUUCUUUUUAUAUUCGGUAACAACCCACAUGUUCUUUUUGACACUAUUAAAACAGUUCUUAGUGCUCCAGAACCCCACUGUCCCGAGGACCCAUCGAAAAUGUGAGGAUUUUUUGUAGUUUUUCAUUCGCAAAAUGGAGAGCACUAGAGCCCUUAUAAGUCAUCCUGCAUAUGACCCAGGCACAUCAGUAACCUACUCUGCUGUUUUUAAUCAAUUUGAACCUGUCAGCCUGCAUCUUUUAGAACAAGUUUUUGGUCAAAUGAGAAUAACAGGCUCCACCACUGAUGUGAUCCCUCCUCGUCUUUUUAAAGAGGUCUUUCCGACAUUGGCACCUUAUGUCCUGGAUAUUGUUAAUUGCAGCUUGGCCAAUGGUGUUGUCCCUUUAUGUUUUAAACAUGCAGUGGUGCAGCCUCUGUUAAAGAAAUCAAACCUUGAUCAACAGGCUUUUUCCAAUUAUCAGCCAAUUUCCAAACUUCCUUUGGUGUCCAGAAUUUUGGAAAAAAAUUGUGUACAUUCAGCUGAGCUCAUUUUUAAAUGAAAAUGGAAUUUCUGAGGUCUUCCAAUCAGGAUUCAAAACUGGCCACAGUACUGGGACGGCUUUGUUGAGUGUUUUAAUGAUGUUCUUCAGGCUUCUGAUUCUGGUCAUACUGUUGCUCUUCUCCUGUUGGACUUAACAACAGCCUUUGAUACGGUGGACCACCAGGUUUUAUUGUCACGGUUGGAGAACUGGGUGGGAAAAAAAGGCCUAGCUUUAGCCUGGUUUAAAUCGUAUUUGUCCAACAGAAGCUUUCCCAUCCAAAUUGGGGAUUCUGUUUCCACUGCGGCCCCUCUGAUGUGUGGCGUACAGCAAGGGUCAGUUCUUGGGCCCUUACUUUUUUUCAUUGUACUUGUUGCCUCUUGGGUCAGCUCUGCGUAAAUAUGAUGUGUCUUUUCAUUUUUACGCAGAUGACUGCCAAAUUUAUUUGCCUUUGAAACAGUCCAAGUCCCUUCUCGAAUGCUUUGAAGAAGUAAAAUUGUGGAUAGCUUACAAUUUUUUGCAUUUCAAUGAGCAAAAAACUGAGGUUUUGCUGUUUGCUCCCAAUGACUCUACUCGGGUGGUCAAAGCUGAGCUCGGCUCUUUAACCCAAGCUGUAAGCCCUGUUGUGAUGAAUCUGGGUGUAAAGAUGGACUCUGUUUUUAAAUUAGAUACCCAGAUCAGUGCUGUUGUGAAGUCAAGCUUUUAACAUUUGAGGCAACUUUCCAAAGUGAAGCCUUUUUUAUCUCGCCACAACUUUGAAAUUUUGAUCCACGCUUUUAUUACCACUCGUUUAGAUUAUUGCAAUGCUCUUUACUCAGGACUCAGCAAAACCUCACUGUCGAGACUACAGCUGGUUCAGAAUGCUGCCGCUCACCUUUUAACGGGAUCGCAAAAAUUUAAUCACAUAACUCCCAUCCUCCAAUCCCUCCACUGGCUCCCUGUGCACCUCCAUAUUGAUUUUAAACUUCUUUUAUUUGUUGUUAACGAAUGACAGUCCAACUCGUUUUAACUUGCCUUAAACACAGUGUCUUUAUUGGUUUCCCAAAAAACUCCAAAGUGCACAAAUUCCCAUUCACAAGUUGCCGUUCGGCAUGCAGCAUUCCGCGUUCGGCGUUUAGCGGUCAAAAACUGAUUUGUCCCCCUCCGGCUGGAAACCCUACCUAGCCACAAAGGUUCCUACCUUAUAUAGGUAAAAUAGACAAUCAAUCAAUUACAAGUGAAACCCACUGACACCAAUAUAAUUUACAGAGCAUAUUUCAAAUCUGCUCCUACAAGUACAGUUAAAAUCUUUAUGAUACCCAUCCCUAGUGUGUAUGCACCUACAAUGAUGUACCCUUAAGAAGAAAAGGAAACAUUUUACCAAGAUUUUGCCAAAGUGGUGUACACUGUACCAAGGGCAGACCACCUCCUCAUUCUAGAGACUUUAACACAAGGUAUUGUGGAGAUCACAAGACAGGUAAGAGUGUUAUUGGAAAAUUUGGCAAGGGCAAGAAGAACACCAAUGUUGACCUCCUCCUGAACUUCUUGGCUGAACAAAAAUUGAGUAUUACAAACAAUGUCUUUUACAAACUCAAAAAGAACUAUACCUGGAUGCACCUGAGGUCUAAGCGCUACUAUCUGCAGAUCUAUGCUGUGUGCUCCAAGGACAACCUGCCUGAGGUGUUCUCAACAUAAGCAAUGUGUCGAGCUGAAUGCUCAACCAACCAUCACUUGCUCCAGAUGCAACCUGGGCUGAAAUUGAAAAUGAAAGUGUUGAAAGUGCAAGCUCUACAAUGACCAGCUAUAAGAGAAUUCACAAAGGAGCCUUGCACAGCUUUUAAGAAAUCAAGUCCAGCAUGCAGAGAAAGAUCAGAGAGAUGAUGGACAGCUGGUGGUUUAGGAAGGCUGAAAAGCUACAAGAGAUGGCAGAUCAAAACGACAUGCGUAGCCGCACAACAGCAAGCUUUGCAGUGACCUGAAGGACAUAACAGCACAGUGGAAAGAGCACUUCAAUAACCUGCUAUACCAAUAAAGAUCAGCUGACCUAAAUGCCUACUAAUGGCUCACAAUAAAACCUGUCAGAGAGGAACUGUGUGGACAAAUUGCACAAAUUUUGCCAAUCUACACAAAAAGCAAUUGGAAUAUGUGUUCAAUUCACUGUAGCAUCUCUCUGCUAUCCACUGCCGGAAAAGUCCUGGCGAAGAUUGUCCUAAACAAAAUGAAGACCCCCUUUGUAAGAAAUACUGCCUAAAAGAAAAUUUAAAGCAGGCAGGCUUUGCAUCUAUUUGAUCUUCACAGUGAGUCUGCUCCAGGAGAAAGCAGUGGAGGAGUAACAGCCCUUUAUGUGGUCUCCAUCCAAUUCCCCAAAGCCUUCGAUACUAUGGACAGAGGAACUCUGUGAAAAGUGCUACAAGUGUACAGAUGCCCCACGACACUUAUUAACAUCAUUACACUCUUCCAUGAUGACAUGAAGGGAAAAAUGUCUAUUGGAGGGGACCUCAGUGUUGCUUUUAAAAUCAAGCAUGGAGUGAAACAAGGCUGUGUCUUGUCACUGAUACUCUUUACAUUCUAUCUCUCAGCAGUCCUUGAGACCGUGGCAAUCAACUUUUAUCAGAGGUAUGGACCAGAAUGGAUGGAAGCUCUUCAGUUUUUCCAGACUCAAGGCUUGCACUAAAACAAGGGAUGUGGUUGUGCGAGAGCUUCUCUAUGCUAAUGAGUUCACCCCAGUUGCUGUUGACCUAGAUGAAAUACAGUUGCCAUUGCUUUUCAAUCACUUUACAGCUGCCACUUUGUUUGGAUCAAUGUUUCCAAGACUGAAAUUCUUUACCAUCCUUCCACCCAUCUUAGAAGUGGGUGGAAGGAUGGAAGGUUAAAAAUACUGGUCAGUGGCAAGGCACUCAUAACCACAGAAUGUUUCACUUACCUGGACAGCACAGUAACCAAUGCAAACAGUACAAACCUGGAAGUUUACUGAAGGAUCAAGUCAGCGACCAAAGCCUUUGGAGCUUUCUCUGGUCAAGCCAUGAUGCCAAAUUGCAGACAAACAUCAAAGUGUAUAAUGCGGCUGUGUGACCGUGCCUGCUCUAUACCACCAAAUCUAUGAUGCUCUAUCGAAAGGACAUCAAGAUGCUCACCAGGACUCAGAUUUGCCAUCUAUGGCAAUUCUUAAUAUACGGCAGGACAGGGUGUCUGACAUAAAGGUAUUAAAAUGAGCUAGCACUCACAGCCCAGAAGCCAUCAUUACAGCUUCUCAACUAUGAUGGGCUGGCCACAUUUGGAGAAUGCCUGAAAACCCCUACCAAAGGGUGUCUUCUGCAGGGAACUUUACUCUGGUACAAAGAUGUCCUGAAGUGCUACUUCAAGAAAUGUGCAGUGAGCCCCAAUGCAUGGGAAAUAGAGGUUCUUGAACCUAGAAGAGCACUGAAGGAAGGAAUAUGAGGGGAAACACCAACUAAACCAUGCCCUACCAGCUCACAACAACCAAAGGUGUACUUGAGUAUGACGCUGCCACUCCAGAGCUGGCCUUGGAGCACACCUGCCAAAUUUUUUGGGAAAACUAGGAACCACAAGUAAGCUUGUACUCUGAGAGAGAAGUGCUUUGUUUGGAUAAUAUGGUACAAUAUAAGACAGACUCAGUCAUUGUGGAGUACAGAGGAACAGAAUUUUCUAUUCUAUUCUGAAUUUUACAGGGACCCGGUGAAGUGAAGCUAAUAUGGCAGAAAUAUCAUCCAGUGUUUCCUCUACAUUCAUUCAGCAGCGGCCCGCCGCUGCUAAAUCCUGGCCGCCGCUCCUUCAAAUUUCUUUCUUUCAUUUUUUUUUGUUCUUGUCGCAAAUACACCACUGCCACGUCUCCACCUUCACACCAGAGUUCUGCACUGUGUCGGGUGCUCACGAGUACUAAGCUUAGUGUUUGCUAAGCGGACAUUUUAUCUUUGUGCAAAGACGGGUGUGGAGGCAGAUGAGUGGAUCAAGAUCCUGAGGUGGAAACUGUCACAGAUAAGAAAAGGUCGAUGACGAUCACUGGAGACACAGGAGACGUUAAGAAGCCCUAUCUUCAUUGAAGAUGUCAUAAUACUGGAAGACCAAUUAUGAACAGCACUGUUUACAACAGAAGAGUAUAUUAAUGUGUAAACUUGAAUAGCACUGGAGCAUAUGACAUAACCAUUCAGAAUGUAAAUGUAUCAAUGUAAUGUUUAUUAUUAAGUCAUGCUUGCAUUAUUUUAUUAUUAAGAUCAAAACCAAUAAUGAGUCAAUCUGUCUCUUAAUACCUUCAGACUUCUCUACCUAAAGCUUCUCCAAGCUCACUGGUUUCGACUAAACUGUAUUUUUAAUUUUUUUUUUAAACUAAGAGAUGUUGUAUAAUUGUUUAAAAGAACUACAUUAUUUUCAUUAUCCCCAAUUGUAGAUUUACCAAGAAUUAUUGACACGAGAAAAUAAUGCAUCAGAUAAGGAUUAUUUUCUGUGACAAAUCCAGAUUUUGUGCUCUUGUGAGUAUUUCCUUGAAGAAGAAAGAGGUUUGUUAAAUUGAUUCAAAAUAAACUGCAAUGCGUGUUCACAGUAAAGAAAAACAUGUCACCCACUACAACAGUAAUGUGUUACAGAUCACUGAUGUGAUUUUUUUUUCUAUUUUUGGGGGAAUUGGUCUUUAUGGCACAAAGGACGCUAUAGUAGUUUGUUGUCUUUCAGUUACUAAUAUAUUAUAAUACCUUUCAGUAGCAUCAGUUCAUUGUUUUAAUUAUGGCAUUGGAUUGACUGCUAAUUUGUUCAGAAAGUCACAGAAUUGACUUUAUAUUAAAAUAAAGUAGGUAAUUACAAUAUAGCUUAAUCGGGAUGGUGCUCAUGGAUGAUUAAUGUAGGUACAUGUAGAAAAUAUACACAAAUUAAGCAUCAGAACUCAUAUAUCGCUCUUUGUGGUGACACCUGUAACAGCUCCAAGUUCCAGCAGGGGUUGACUAUAUUUGACCACUAGACUUUAUGUUUAUAGAUUUGUCUGAUUAUAGUAUGGGUUCUACAAUGCCUCUGUGGUUUUCGCUGUCACCUCACAGCUUGAAGAUCUCCAGUUCACAUCCCAGCCUGGGUCUGCAUAGAGUUUGCAUGUUCUCCCUGUGCAUGCAUGGGUUUUCUUUGGGUACUCUGGCUUCCUCCCACAGUCCAAAAACAUGCUGAGAUUAACUGAUAAUUCUAAAUUGUCCAUAGGUGUGAAUGUGAGUGUGCUUGUUUGUCUUUCUGUGUAGCCCUGUGAUAGACUGGUGACCUGUCCAGGGUGUCCCCUAUCUUCACUCUAAAUGUGCAAUGGCAAUAAAGUUGAAUCUUGCAUUUUU